rnacentral:lncRNA from 1 species
GUCGUUCCCGUUCCCGCGUCCGCAGCUGUUCUCUCUCUCUCCGUACGUAUAUCGCUUCAAUUCGCGCGCCUGCCUCGUCAUCUUUCUUUCGGCUCCGGCACAUCGUUUUCUGAUACGCAGCCAUAACAAAAACGGAAGGCACAUGCUCGACCUUCGCCGCCGGUAACUCCACCACUGUUCCGCUCCUCGGAUGUAUUUUCUGUCCCGCUCCGUCCUCUAAAGCCUGGAUUACACCCAUCUCAAUGUGAUCCGACCCAAGGGUGUAUUCGGAUUACGAAUCCUAGCCGUCGAAAAUGGGUAAUUACCUAAUUUAUUGUGUAAAUGAAGUAAACGUUUUUUUAUUGUAUUUGCUAAUUGGUUGUUUAGGGAGCAGGAUGAUUGCGAGGUGGUAAGGAAGGUUGAAGAGGGAAGUACAGUGAUGUAUUUGAGGAUCUCACAGUACGGAUAAUGAAAAAUGCGAUAUCAAAGUCCUUAAGGCUGUAAAGAAGAAAAAAGGUUGGUGGUUCGAUUCUCUAGUUUUACUGUUUUAGUACUCUACUCUGUGACAAACCUCUAUUUUAUCCAUAAUAAUUUUUCUAAUUUUUUUAAGGGUGGUCAAACUCGAACGAAAUGAAAAAAAAUCCCGACAUAGAGUGUCCAAUAUAUGUUAUAUACCUAUAAAACUUAAUAUUUUAACUAUAUAUACACUGUAAAUUUUUUACUUGACCACUCUUAUGUGAAUGUAGCUUCGCCCAUGAUAUUAAGUAUCACGCAUCAAAAUGCAAACUAAUACAUGUUUUAGUUUUAUUCGCUAGCUACUCUAUUGGAAACCAAUGCAUUAAAUUUAUUUGAUUCGGUUCCUCGUAUGUGAGGUGGCAGUGACAUUAAGUAUCACGCAUCAAAAUGCAAACGAAUGCACCUUGCUUCUGAAAAAUAUGCAAAGGCACAUCUUUGUAACCCUAUAGAUGUCAAAUUGGUGUAGAUAGGAAAGAAUCUGAUCUCUUGUUACAUUUUAUAGGUUUUGCUUUUGAUUUGGUUUCUCAUGUGUGAGAUAAUUUUGAUUUGAAAAAGUAAACACUGAGCAUGACACUGUUGACUAUUUUCUCUGCAAUGAAUACUAUCUUGAUAAACGAGAAGACAAAAAGUAAGUCUCCUCGGUAAGUUUUUAUUUGUUACUCAUGUGUGAGGUAAGUUUGAUUUAAAAUAGAAGAUCCCAAGAAAACUGGUGACUCUUGUUCUCUACAAUGAAUUAAGUAGUUUAUCCUACUGGAAUGAAACAUAAAAAUGUCCAAAUAAUGACCACAAUACGCUCCUUCAUCCCCAAAAAUGUCACGGAAACAGAAGGAAGACAAAAGUAACUUUAAUCUCUUGGAAAGAUUUUGUAUAUUAAGUUUUAAAGCUUCCUUUGAGACUUUCCUAUUCCCUUAUUACCGAUCCUGACAAGAGCAUUGCUGAUUGAAUUUAAAUAGAGAGAAUUGCUGAGGUAGUGAUGUAGGUACUAGGAAGAUAGAAAUAAGUGAAGAAGCAGGUUAGAAAGAAGAAAGAGAGAGUUAAAAGCCUCUACGUAACUUUGGGAAUCUCGACAUCACAUCCAUGCCUAAAUGCAUGGAACCUCUUACUUAGAAGCUUGUAAAACUCUAUUGCUGCUGAAUAAUCAGGAGUUCCAGCCAUGUAAAAAAGAUAUACAUGGGUGUCUACUGUUACCACCUUCUAGAAUUAUCAAAUUUCGAGACAAGGGAGGGAUAGCGUGCCCCUCCACCUCCAACCAUGACGUUUGGGAUUUGUUUCACCAAGAGAGCAAAGCAAGAAAGUGCCAUUGUUAGCUCAUGGCCAAGGGGUUUGUGGGUGACGUUUCAAAAUACAAAAAAGAAAAAUUAAAAAAAUAUCGAUGUUGCGGUAUUACAAAUACAUGAAUGUGCACUUUUCCCUCACCUUAUUAAAUACAGAAACAAUUUAACCCCCCCCCCCCCCCAACCAACCAACAGGAAAAAGGAAAAAGGAAAGACAAAGUAAAAGGAGAAAGGAACAGGACUUGUGUACUUAAAAUGGGUACCAUAUCGCCUAUGGUCAAAAUAGGACUUGCAUACUUAAACAAGAAUGUCAUAAGGUAUAUCCUAAGUUGAAUAAAUUUCUUAGUUCUUUCAGGUGUUUGAAAGGGCUUUUGGUGGACAUGUAUUAUAGUGUUCGCUGUGUUGCUAAUCUAUGCACUAUGUUGUUAAAAAUUUUCGAAGCUCACAAGAAAUCUUUAGGUUGCGGAAGCCAAAUGUAUAUAGUGUGAAUGAGUCACAACUACUAUACCAAAAAUUAUGACAGCCACUAAAUAAUAAAUAAGACAAUAAUACAACAGUAAAAGGAACACCAGAAUUUACGAGGUUCGGCCAAUUUUGCCUACUUCCUCGGACACAACCAAUAUUUUAUUCCACUCCAAAAAUCCAAGUGAAAUAAUACUAUAGAGAGAAGAUACAAAUGCCUUAAGAAGAUAAGAAGACAAAUGAGAUGUGUGUUUAAAUCCUAAACAUUAGGCCUUUUUUUAUAGGGUGAAGUACCAACCAAAAUUGGUACUUCACCGAUGUGGGACUUUGGCACUCAACAAAUCUCCGCCUUGGCAAAAUUCCACAUCUCCAAUUUUCUCUCAAUAACAAAUUUUGGUUGUGUCUUCAUCUUCAAUCUUCAGUGUUCAACAUUUGUUCAACAAUGUUGAUCAAAUCCAAACAAUGUUGAAACUUGACCGCAAUCACCACCUUUGUCAGCAUAUCAGCGGGAUUCUCUGUAGUAUGAAUUUUCUUCACCGUGACUCCACCUUCUUCUAUGAUUUCUCGUACGAAAUGAUACCGAACAUCAAUGUGCUUCGUCUUUGCAUGAUAAACUUAGUUCUUCGCUAAUUGAAUAACACUUUGACUAUCACAAAAAAUUGUGAUACUUUUGUAUCCAAUACCAAGCUCUUUUAGCAACCCUGAAGCCAAAUUGCCUCUUUUGCAGCCUCUAUAAUAACCAUGUACUCUGCCUCUGUUGUAGACAAAGCAACUGUUGACUGCAAAGUAGACUUCCAAUUAACUGGUGCCUUUGCAAAAGUAAACACAUAACCAGUAGUUGAUCUUUGUUUGUCCAGAUCACCCGCAAAAUCUGAGUCACAAUAUCCAACUACAGAUUGGUUGCCUUUCUGCUAAAAAACUAACACAACAUCUACAGUAUUAUGAAUAUACCGUAGAAUCCACUUCAUAGCUUGUCAAUGGUCCUUUCCUGGAUUAUGCAUAUAUCUGCUAAUGACUCCAACAACUUGUAAAAUGUCAGGUCUCGUACAGACCAUUGCAUACAUCAAGCUACCAACAACAUUUGUGUAUGGAACCCUUGACAUAUACUCCUGUUCAGCUUCAUCUUUUGGCGACAUAGUAGUACUUAGCUUAAAAUGGGGAGCAAGUGGAGUACUAACUGGCUUAGUCUUUUCAUCUAUGCCAAAACGUUGUAGUACUCUUUUCAAAUAUUCUUUCUGAGAUAAACAAAGUUUCUUUGAACGUCUAUCUCUUAUUAUCUCCAUGCCAAGAAUUUUCUUUGUCUCACCCAGAUCCUUCAUCUCGAACUCCUUCUUCAGUUGAAUCUUCAACUUAUCAAUUUCUUCUGAAUUCUUCGAAGCUAUCAACAUAUAGGAGAAGAUAUAUAAAGGAACCAUCUUUAGGCUUGCGCAAAUACACAAAAUGAUCGUACUUGCUUCUCUUGUACCUUUGUCGCAAUAUAAACUUGUCAAAUCGCUUGUACCAUUGUCUAGAAGAUUGUUUCAAUCCAUACAACGAUUUUUCAAGUUUGNNNNNNNNNNNNNNNNNNNNNNNNUAACCCUUAUCUGUUUCCCUUUGACACAAUGUUCGCAAAACCCCAAGUUGCAAGCCUUUACUCCUUUUAACAAUUCUUGAUCUGAUAGAGUUUUCAAAGAUUUUCCUCUAGCAUGUCCCAAGCGCAUGUGCCAUAGCCUAGUUGCUUCUGCCUCUUAUUCGUCACUGGAUGUUACUGUCGUUGUCCCAAUAACUGUACUACCGCGAUAACGGUAUAUGUUAUUUUUCUUCCGAUUGGCCUUCAUUACCACUAGUGCACCGGAGCAUACUCUCAUCACUCCAUUUUCUACAAUGAUUUUGAACCCUUUUGAUUCUAGGGCUCCCACAGAGAUGAGAUUUUUCUUCAAACCCGGUACAUAUCGAACAUCUGUUAAUGUUCUGAUCAUUCCAUCAUGGUUCCUUAAUCGUAUUGUUAACCAAUAUCAUAUGAGGUAAGAGGGUUGUUAUCCGCUGUGUGGACGACUCCAUAUUCUCUUCUUGAAAAUUCACGAACCGGUCCCUGUUGGGACACAUAUGAUAGCUACAAGCCGAGUCCAUCAACCAUAUGUCUGAUGAUGUUGAUAGCUCUGUUGUAACUAAUGAGAAGUCUGAAUCAUCACCAUCAGCUACAUUUGAAUCCAUAAUGGCCUUUACAUUGUUAUGUUUGGCCUUAUUCUUCAACUUCGGACAGUCUUUCUUCCAGUGCCCCUUUUCUCGACAAAAGGCACAUUCAUCUUUGCUGGGUCUAGAUCUUGACUUGGAUCUUCCUUUCUUUGUCCUCGUUUGAUUUUGAGGACGACCCCUCACAACCAGUGCUUCUCCUUCUCCGCCCUUCUGUUUUUCUCCUUUUUUUGUUCAUAACUGUAAAAAUCCGAACAAACUUCUUUGAGAGAAAUUUCGUCAUUCCCAUGGAGUAGAGUAGUUUCAAGGUGUUCGUACUCAUCAGGAAGUGACCCCAACAACAUCAAGGCCAAAUCACCAUCAUCAAAAGUUGCAUCCAUAUUUUGCAAAUAUAAAAGAAAGCCUAAUGUUUAGGAUUUAAACACACCUCUUAUUUGCCUUCUUAUCUUCUUAAGGCAUUUGUAUCUUCUCUCUUUAGUAUUAUUUCACUUGUAUUUUUGGAGUGGAAUAAAAUAUUGGUUUUGCCCGAGGAAGUAGGCAAAAUUGGCCGAACCUCGUAAAUUCUGGUAUUCCUUUUAUUGUUGUAUUAGUGUCUUAUUUAUUAUUUAGUGGCCGCCAUAAUUUUUGGUAUAGUAGUUGUGACUCAUUCACACUGUAUACAUUUGGCUUCCGCAACAACAACAACCUCCUUUUUCCAUCACUAUUUUGCCAAAUGAAUUCCCUCGAUGCCUAUAAUCUAUAACAACUUAUUUCUAACACUUGCUGGAGUUGCUAAUGAUUAUUGCUAAGUUCAAGGCUAUUAAUUAUCUGCAAGACAUGUUCACUUUUAAUGCAUUUAUUUUUCUUAUUUUUUUGAGCAUUUGAACUAUGCACUUCCGUUUAUUGUUAACAGUUCUUUGCACCUUCGUUUUUUUAUAAAACUAAUGCUACUGUCAUCACUACAUGCAGAUCAAGUGGGAGAUCAAGAUACCACAAAAUCUUUGUGCUGGACCAUGCUAAUUAUUAUCAGUGAUCAGCAAUCGAAUACCCCACGUUUCAUUUUGAAUAUUUGAAUCACAUAGAUUUUAAAGUGGUUUAUCCUACUCUUUCUCUCGUUGAUGUCAGAUAUUACAUCUGAGAAAUGCUGUUGAGAAGUUUUCUGUAUAUCUAGAUUUUAUGGCCUUUCAUACUACUAAUGCUGUGAAUUUUGUCUUUAUAUUUAUCUGGUUACUACUGAAGCUCGAGAUAUAUCACGACAGUUAGAUCAAUAUGAUACAGGAGGCUUCCUUUGAAUCUCUUCCUCUGGGGUGCUCUCUGAAGGUUGCUAGCUACAGAAUUGCCUUGUGUCAAAAGUUUUUCGGUACGGGGGAUGCAAUUUUGCUAAAAGUUCUUUUUCUCUUUUCAGUUCUUUAAGUGGAAAACAUACAUUCUUUUUUUCCACUGGUUGACUGGUGAGAUUUGUGCGCUAAGGUAGCUAACUUAGUGGUUGUGUAAGUUAGUGAUUAGGAACUUUAUGAGUAUAGCGUUGAUGGUUGUAAACUCCAAAGAUUAGCUGAUAAGUCUUCCUUAAUUUUGAAUUUUUCUUUAAGGGUGUGUGUUAACUUUGAGACUACUAGUGGAUCUAAUUAAAUCUUAAUUUAUAAUCUAGCUUGAAGUUGAUCUAGACAUAGACUGGUCCAAUUCAUAUUUUUUAUUAUCUGUUAAUAAUAAAUGGUUGCUUAGCAAAUUUAUUAAUUUAGAUUUAAAAAAAAAAAUAUUUGCAGGUAAGAAUAUAUUGUGUGAAUGUAAAUAUAUGAUGUCUAGUUAUACGAAUGGAAUACAUAUAGAUAUUAUGUACAGGAUUAUAAAAAACUCAGAUAUAAAAUGGUUGCACUGUAUAGGAUUAAACCACAUUACAGAUCGAGCUUGCUUGAUCGUCCUAGGAUAUUUUGCUGAGGCAUUCUGCACACUCAAUUCAAGUCUGUUUGUGGCGCUUAUCUAGGUACAUUAUUAUUUUUCAAAAUGGUGAAUCUCAUCCUUUUGAUUCCUUGCAACUGAUAUAUUCUAGCUGCGCUAGUUCAAGUGCUUCUCUAUCUAGUGUAGGCGAGCUGAAUAUAAUGUUCAUGGUUCCUAGGUUGCCUUCUGCUGUUCUGC